ensembl:lncRNA
GGCAUGUUUUCUGAGGAGAAAUUGGAUGUGAUUCUUAUCCUUGCUCCUCUAUAGGUUUCAGCUUAAAUGAUGCUUCUGCCGACCACCUGCCUGCACAGCCAGUACCAAACCACUCCGGAGAUGCUCUCUUUCACGGCACCUGUUUAUCUCACAAGGUUCUCUGUGUGUUCAUUCAUGUGUUUAAUGUCCACAGUCCCCCCGAGAGAAGGCACUGAUCCUCUGCCCUCCUCACAACUCAUGCAGCUCUGGGUUGCCUCAUGCACAGACCACACAGAAAUGUCUGUUGGGAAAUGAUAGAGUUUUUAUUCCUGGGAUUUAUAUGACUGAGUAGAUGAAUGAACAUAUGUGUAAAUAUUGAAGGAGUUGGAAAUUGUCUUCCCAGUGAGGAGUCUAGACCUGAAGGGGGGAUGCCAGACCAGCAUGAGUCGAAGCACCACAGACACAAAGAGAAGCAUUGCAGGCAGAUUGUUUACCAUCUGAGCCACCAGGGGCGUCCCAAAGAGAAGCACCAGCUCCCAUACCAGGGUCUGGGAGUCCCCAUGAAAAGAUGGCCAGUGUCCCCACUUCCAGGGAGGACUUCCAGAGUGUCAUCCAUAGAAAGAUUCUCUGGGGAGGGGAAGAAAUUAGCAACGUCCAGCUGAUUCAAGGAAAGAAUUAAAAAUGGAAACGUAAACCAACAUUUUCAAUGUCAGAGCUGAAAAGUAGCAAAAGAGGUUUCUGUAGAAUAGCCCCAUGGAAUUUCAAAUAAGGUAAGACUUGCCCUUAAAAGCAAACUGUAAAAGUCAAUUCACAGUGUCUCGGAUGUGCAAGUCAUCCUCAAAAGACAUGGCAGGAUGCAGACAACUUCAGCCAAGAGGCAUGUGACACUUGCUAUGUACCUGGAGAGCUUCUAAGCUCUUUGUUGUCCUGAUGACAACUGUGUGGCUCAUUUUGUAGAUGAAGACACUGAGACACAGGGGAGGGAAGUACGUUGCUCAGCCACCCAGCUAAGUGGCAGGAUUGGUGCACAGUGCGGGUGGUUGGCUCCAGACUCUGCCUGAACCACCAGCCCUGUUGACUCCUGGCCGUGACCAUACUGGCUUGUCUGAAAGGAGAAGGGAUAUGUGGCCAGAACCUUUCCACUCUCUUGAUGAUAACUUUUGAUGACAAGAGGCUUUUAACUUCAAUGAAGUCAAACACAUUACUCUUCUUUUAUGAUUAGUGAGUUUCGAGUCCUGAAAUCUUUGCCUACUUGAAAGUCAUGAAAAUAUUCUUGUGUAUUUGAAGCUUCAUAAUUUUAGCCUCCACAUUUGAGCCUGCAAUACAUCUUAAAUUAAUAUUUGUAUGGCAUGAGAUAGAAGUCAAGAUUCUUGUUUUGAUGUAGACAUCUGGACACAGAUGCAUAUUUUAUUUGAAAGAUUUCUGUUUCUCAAAUAAACUCCUUUGGUCCAUUGGUUGAAAAUCAUGUGACCAAUUACAUGUGAGUCUACUUCUGUACACUCUUCUGUUUCUCUGUGAUGGUAAGGCAGGAAAAGAGAAAUUAUAGAAGAUAUACAGAUGGCCAAAAAGCACAAAAAGAUGCUCAACAUCAUUAGCCAUUAGUGAUAGUGAAGUCACUCAGUCGUGUCCGACUCUUUG